AUCCUUUUGUGAUUCAUAAACAUGCUAACUGGGUUUUCCUCUCCCACAAGCCUUGCUAAUACCUGGGCACAUUACACAUUUGAUG
rnacentral:snoRNA from 1 species